AGUGAACGCUGGCGGUAGGCCUAACACAUGCAAGUCGAACGGCAGCACAGUAAGAGCUUGCUCUUACGGGUGGCGGGUGGCGGACGGGUGAGGAAUACAGCGGAAUCUACUUUUUCGUGGGGGAUAACGUAGGGAAACUUACGCUAAUACCGCAUACGACCUACGGGUGAAAGCAGGGGAUCUUCGGACCUUGCGCGAUUGAAUGAGCCGAUGUCGGAUUAGCUAGUUGGCGGGGUAAAGGCCCACCAAGGCGACGAUCCGUAGCUGGUCUGAGAGGAUGAUCAGCCACCCUGGAACUGAGACACGGCCCAGAAUCCUACGGGAGGCAGCAGUGGGGAAUAUUGGAGAAUGGGCGGAAGACUGAUCCAGCCAUACCGCCUGGGUGGAGAAGGCCUUCGGGUUGUAAAGCCCUUUUGUUGGGAAAGAAAAGCAGCAGGUUAAUACGCCGCUGUUCUGACGGUACCCAAAGAAUAAGCACCGGCUAACUUCGUG
rnacentral:rRNA from 1 species